UAUAUAAAUGAGGUGCGGCGGAGGCGCCGCCGUGGAGCCGCCGCCUCCUCACUGCUUUGCAGCUGCGUGGGGAACCUGGACCGCGGCGGCGCCGAGUUGCCCUGAUGAUCCCCGGCGGGCUGUGGUGGCAGAGGCGCCGGGAGAAUGACCUCUUCCUGGGAGCGGGGUGCCGACCUGGCCCGAUUCUAUACUGUCACCGAGCCCCAGCGACACCCGAGGGGCUACACAGUGUAUAAAGUCACCGCCAGGGUUGUUUCAGGAAGAAAUCCAGAGGAUGUCCAGGAGGGAGAAUCCUGAACCAACCUAUCCAUGAACAUACUUUCUGCCAUUUCCUUAAUCCUUUUUUGGGGAAAACUCUUUUAUAAUAACAACUGUUGGUGAACCAUUCAUCAGAAAACUCUUAUAAUCGUAUGGAAGAGAUACAGUGAUUUUAAGAAACUACACAAAGAACUGUGGCAAAUUCACAAAUUCACUUAUUCCGACAUUCAGAAUUGUUUCCUCCCUUUGCUAAAGGAAUAGUGUUUGGGCGAUUUGAUGAAGCUGUUAUUGAAGAGAGAAGACUGUGCUGAAGACCUGCUACAGUUCUCUGCCAAUAUUCCUGCUCUUUACAACAGUAAACAGCUUGAAGAUUUUUUCAAGGGUGGAAUAAUUAAUGAUGGUUCUGAAUUAAUUGGUCCUCCUGAAGCUUACUCAGAUCCCUUCAUUGAUACUUUUCCUGAGUGUAGUACAGAAGGCUUCUCCAGUGACAGUGAUCUGAUAUCUCUUACUGUUGAUGUGGAUUCUCUUGCUGAGUUGGAUGAUGGAAUGGCUUCCAAUCAAAAUUCUCCCAUUAGAACUUUUGGUCUCACUCUUUCUUCGGAUUCUUCAGCACUAGGGGCUGUUGCUUCUGAAAGUGAACAGAACAAAACAGAAGAAGAACAGGAAAGUCGUAGCCUCUUUCCUGGCAGUUUAAAGUCCAAGCUUGGCAAGAGAGAUUAUUUGGAAAAAGCAGGAGAAUUAAUAAAGUUGGCUUUAAAAAAGGAAGAAGAAGACAACUAUGAAGCUGCUUCUGAUUUUUACAGGAAAGGAGUUGAUUUACUCCUAGAAGGUGUUCAAGGAGAGUCAAGCCCUACCCGUCGAGAAGCGGUAAAGAGAAGAACAUCAGAGUAUCUCAUGCGGGCAGAAAGUAUCUCUAGUCUUUAUGGCAAACCUCAACUUGAUGAUGUAUCUCAGCCUCCAGGAUCACUAAGUUCAAGGCCCCCUUGGAACCUAAGGAGCCCUAAGGCCUUCAGAGUCCUUGGGGUGAUUGACAAGGUUUUACUUGUAAUGGACACAAGGACAGAACAGACAUUCAUUUUAAAAGGUCUGAGGAAAAGCAGUGAAUACAGCAGGAACAGAAAGACCAUCAUCCCCCGCUGUGUGCCCAACAUGGUGUGUCUGCACAAGUACAUCAUCUCUGAGGAGUCAGUAUUUCUUGUGCUGCAGCAUGCAGAAGGUGGCAAGCUCUGGUCAUAUAUCAGUAAAUUUUUGAGCAGAAGUCCUGAAGAAAGCUUUGAAAUCAAGGAAAUGAAAAAAUCUACACUUACUAAAGUUCACCUGCAACAGCCAACUUCUAGUCCUCAGGACAGCAGCAGCUUUGAAUCCAGAGGAAGUGAUGGUGCAAGCAUGCUUCAAGUUCUGCCUUUGAAGACUAGUCUUACUCCAAGUUCUCAAGAUGAUAGCAACCAGGAAGACGAUGGCCAAGAUAGCUCUCCAAAGUGGCCAGAUUCUGGUUCAAGUUCAGAAGAAGAAUGCACUACUAGUUAUUUAACAUUAUGUAAUGAAUAUGGGCAAGAAAAGAUUGAGCCAGGGUCUUUGAACAAGGAGCCCUUCAUGAAGACUGAAGGGAACGGUGUUGAUACCACAGCUAUUAAAAGCUUCCCAGCAUACCUUGUUGCUGACAGUGACGGCACCAGCACUCAGCCAAGAGCUCAUGAGCUGAAGUUCUUCCCUAGAGAUGAUGACCCAGAAGCAGUUAGUUCUCCAAGAACUUCAGAUUCCCUCAGUAGAUCCAAAAAUAGCCCCAUGGAAUUUUUUAGGAUAGACAGUAAGGAUAGCACAAGUGAACUCCUGGGACUUGAUUUUGGAGAAAAAUCGUAUAGUUUAAAAUCAGAACCUUUAAAACCAUUCUUUACUCUUCCAGAUGGAGACAGCAAUUCCAAGAGUUUUAAUACUAGUGAAAGCCUGGUACAGUUUAAAGCUCAGGACACCAUUAGCAGGGGCUCAGAUGACUCAGUGCCAGUUAUUUCAUUUAAAGAUGCUGCUUUUGAUGAUGUCAGUGGUACUGCUGAAGGAAGACCUGAUCUUGUAAAUUUACCUGGUGAAUUGGAGCCAACAAAAGAAGCUGCAGGAAUAGGACCUACUAAGUUUACACAGACUAAUACAGGCAUAAUAGAAAGUAAACUAUUGGAAGCCCCUGAUGUUUUAUGCCUCAGUCUUAGUACUGAACAGUGCCAAGCACAUGAAGAGAAAGGCACAGAGGAAUUGAGUGAUCCCUCUAGGCCCAGAUCUCAUAGUAUAACAGAGAAACACUAUGCACAGGAGGAUCUUGGGACCUUAUUUGUAGCAGCUCUUGAUCAUAGUAGUUCAGGAGACAUGUCUUUGUUACACAGCUCAGAUCCUAAGUUUCAAGGACUUGGAGUGGUUGAUUCAGCAGUAACUACAGAUAACACCGAAGAAAGCUUAUUGCAUAUUUCUAGUCCACUCUCAGGUGCUAAUGAAUAUAUUGCAAACACAGACACUUUAAAAACAGAAGAAGUAUUGCUGUUUACAGAUCAAACUGAUGAUUUGGCUAAAGAGGAACCGACUUCUUUAUUCCAGAGAGACUCUGAGUCUAAGGGAGAAAGUAGGUUAGCACUAGAAGGAGACAAGGAAAUACAUCAGAUUUUUGAGGACCUUGAUAAAAAAAUUAGCACUAAACUCCAGGUUUUACAUCCCAGAGGGCUGCAUUCAAAGAUGGGCAGCUGAAACGGUGGUAGCCCUUGAUGCUUUACAUAGAGAGGGAAUUGUGUGCCGUGAUUUGAACCCAAACAACAUCUUAUUGAAUGAUAGAGGACACAUUCAGCUAACGUAUUUUAGCAGGUGGAGUGAGGUUGAAGAUUCCUGUGACAGCAAUGCCAUAGAGAGAAUGUACUGUGCCCCAGAGGUUGGAGCAAUCACAGAAGAAACUGAAGCCUGUGAUUGGUGGAGUUUGGGUGCUGUCCUCUUUGAACUUCUCACUGGCAAGACUCUGGUUGAGUGCCAUCCAGCAGGAAUAAAUACUCAUACUACUUUGAACAUGCCAGAAUGUGUCUCUGAAGAGGCUCGCUCACUCAUUCAACAGCUCUUGCAGUUCAACCCUCUGGAACGGCUUGGUGCUGGAGUUGCUGGUGUUGAAGAUAUUAAAUCUCAUCCAUUUUUUACCCCUGUGGAUUGGGCAGAACUGAUGAGAUGAAUACAAUUCAGGGUUAUCUUCACAUAUACUGAUCUCCCCUGGGACAGGCAUCUCCAGUGCAGAGGCUGCUCUGCCUCGUGGUUACUUGUGGAGCACCAAAGCAUUUGGAUGCAGACCUUUGUGGGAACUAGGGGGCAGAGGAAGGCUACAGAGAACAAUUAAUUUACAGUUACUGUCUGGACAAGAUAUUAGCUAAUUUUGCCAGAGGCCAUUAUAUAUACACCUCUAAUCAAGGUGUGAUCUUAAUUUAAUCUACAGAGUUCCUUCAAGAAAUUCCUCUGAUACUAAGUUCUAUGAAGUUUUACUUGAAAGAAGGACCUUUAUGUGGCAGCUAACAGUGCUUUCUGCUAACCAGGAUUGGUUUAUAUGAUCAAAUUAAUGUUUGCUUAAUAGUACACUAAAAAUACUUUGCAAAUAAUGUCAUCUUUGAGGCUUUAAAGUGA